rnacentral:misc_RNA from 1 species
CAUAAACAUACAUCUUUUAAGGAAUUUGUUGAUAAGUAUGAUCUAGCACUACACAGGAGACUCCUUAGAGAAGCCAUGGCAGAUCUAGAGUCGAGAAACUCGAGCUUUGAGUUGAGAACAAAAUGCAAUUUUGAAGUGCAGCUCUCUAAAGUGUAUACANAAAGAAAUUUUUAAGAAGUUUCAGUCUGAGGUUGAGGGGGUGUGCUUGUGCUUCAACACAAGACAGGUUAGUGUUAACGGGCCAAUAGUUACAUACAUAGUUAAAGAACGGGUAGAAGUGGAAGGAGGUGAGAAGGAGGUUAAACAUUUUGAGGUUUUAUAUGAGACAAGCCAAGUGGAUAUUCGAU